rnacentral:tRNA from 3 species
AUGGUCGGGAUAGCUC